rnacentral:rRNA from 1 species
GACGAACGCUGGCGGCGUGCUUAACACAUGCAAGUCGAACGGAAAGGCCCUGCUUUUUUGGGGUGCUCGAGUGGCGAAAGGGUGAGUAACACGUGAGUAACCUGCCCUUGACUUUGGGAUAACUUCAGGAAACUGGGGCUAAUACCGGAUAGGAGCUCCUGCUGCAUGGUGGGGGGUGGAAAGUUUCGGCGGUUGGGGAUGGACUCGCGGCUUAUCAGCUUGUUGGUGGGGUAGUGGCUUACCAAGGCUUUGACGGGUAGCCGGCCUGAGAGGGUGACCGGCCACAUUGGGACUGAGAUACGGCCCAGACUCCUACGGGAGGCAGCAGUGGGGAAUAUUGCACAAUGGGCGGAAGCCUGAUGCAGCAACGCCGCGUGCGGGAUGACGGCCUUCGGGUUGUAAACCGCUUUCGCCUGUGACGAAGCGUGAGUGACGGUAAUGGGUAAAGAAGCACCGGCUAACUACGUG